UACAGAGGGGGCAAGCGUUGUUCGGAAUUACUGGGCGUAAAGGGCGCGUAGGCGGCCUGCUAAGUCGAACGUGAAAUCCCCGGGCUUAACCCGGGAACUGCGUCCGAUACUGGCAGGCUUGAAUCCGGGAGAGGGAUGCGGAAUUCCAGGUGUAGCGGUGAAAUGCGUAGAUAUCUGGAGGAACACCGGUGGCGAAGGCGGCAUCCUGGACCGGCAUUGACGCUGAGGCGCGAAAGCCAGGGGAGCAAAGCGGG
rnacentral:rRNA from 1 species